GACGAACGCUGGCGGCGUGCUUAACACAUGCAAGUCGAACGAAGAGCGAUGGAAGCUUGCUUCUAUCAAUCUUAGUGGCGAACGGGUGAGUAACGCGUAAUCAACCUGCCCUUCAGAGGGGGACAACAGUUAGAAACGACUGCUAAUACCGCAUACGAUCCAAUCUCGGCAUCGAGACUGGAUGAAAGGUGGCCUCUAUUUAUAAGCUAUCACUGAAGGAGGGGAUUGCGUCUGAUUAGCUAGUUGGAGGGGUAAAGGCCCACCAAGGCGAUGAUCAGUAGCCGGUCUGAGAGGAUGAACGGCCACAUUGGGACUGAGACACGGCCCAGACUCCUACGGGAGGCAGCAGUGGGGAAUCUUCCGCAAUGGACGAAAGUCUGACGGAGCAACGCCGCGUGAGUGAUGACGGCCUUCGGGUUGUAAAGCUCUGUUAAUCGGGACGAAUGGUUCUUGUGCGAAUAGUGCGAGGAUUUGACGUACCGGAAUAGAAAGCC
rnacentral:rRNA from 1 species